GGGGAUUUAGCUCAGUGGUAGAGCACGUGCCUAGCAAGCGCAAGGCCCUGGGUUCGGUCCCCAGCUCUG
rnacentral:tRNA from 1 species